rnacentral:rRNA from 1 species
CAGCGGCGGACGGGUGAGUAAUGCCUAGGAAUCUGCCUGGUAGUGGGGGAUAACGUCCGGAAACGGGCGCUAAUACCGCAUACGUCCUGAGGGAGAAAGUGGGGGAUCUUCGGACCUCACGCUAUCAGAUGAGCCUAGGUCGGAUUAGCUAGUUGGUGGGGUAAAGGCCUACCAAGGCGACGAUCCGUAACUGGUCUGAGAGGAUGAUCAGUCACACUGGAACUGAGACACGGUCCAGACUCCUACGGGAGGCAGCAGUGGGGAAUAUUGGACAAUGGGCGAAAGCCUGAUCCAGCCAUGCCGCGUGUGUGAAGAAGGUCUUCGGAUUGUAAAGCACUUUAAGUUGGGAGGAAGGGCAGUAAGUUAAUACCUUGCUGUUUUGACGUUACCAACAGAAUAAGCACCGGCUAACUUCGUGCCAGCAGCCGCGGUAAUACGAAGGGUGCAAGCGUUAAUCGGAAUUACUGGGCGUAAAGCGCGCGUAGGUGGUUCAGCAAGUUGGAUGUGAAAUCCCCGGGCUCAACCUGGGAACUGCAUCCAAAACUACUGAGCUAGAGUACGGUAGAGGGUGGUGGAAUUUCCUGUGUAGCGGUGAAAUGCGUAGAUAUAGGAAGGAACACCAGUGGCGAAGGCGACCACCUGGACUGAUACUGACACUGAGGUGCGAAAGCGUGGGGAGCAAACAGGAUUAGAUACCCUGGUAGUCCACGCCGUAAACGAUGUCGACUAGCCGUUGGGAUCCUUGAGAUCUUAGUGGCGCAGCUAACGCGAUAAGUCGACCGCCUGGGGAGUACGGCCGCAAGGUUAAAACUCAAAUGAAUUGACGGGGGCCUGCACAAGCGGUGGAGCAUGUGGUUUAAUUCGAAGCAACGCGAAGAACCUUACCUGGCCUUGACAUGCUGAGAACUUUCCAGAGAUGGAUUGGUGCCUUCGGGAACUCAGACACAGGUGCUGCAUGGCUGUCGUCAGCUUGUGUCGUGAGAUGUUGGGUUAAGUCCCGUAACGAGCGCAACCCUUGUCCUUAGUUACCAGCACCUCGGGUGGGCACUCUAAGGAGACUGCCGGUGACAAACCGGAGGAAGGUGGGGAUGACGCCAAGUCAUCAUGGCCCUUACGGCCAGGGCUACACACGUGCUACAAUGGUCGGUACAAAGGGUUGCCAAGCCGCGAGGUGGAGCUAAUCCCAUAAAACCGAUCGUAGUCCGGAUCGCAGUCUGCAACUCGACUGCGUGAAGUCGGAAUCGCUAGUAAUCGUGAAUCAGAAUGUCACGGUGAAUACGUUCCCGGGCCUUGUACACACCGCCCGUCACACCAUGGGAGUGGGUUGCUCCAGAAGUAGCUAGUCUAACCGCAAGGGGGACGGUUACCACGGAGUGAUUCAUGACUGGGGUGAAGUCGUAACAAGGU